AUCCAUGUUCAAAAUUUCAUGAAGAUCAAGCUAGCAAAGAAGUUAGAUACUAUGAAUUUCUAUCCAUAAGAUCGUCAACCUUUGUAAUGUAGCAUAGGUUGUUAUCCAGUUGUCAGGCUUGAUGCUCCAACUGAUCAAGAGUUUUGUACAGAACACUCUACUUGGUAAAUAAUAAUGCACAUUAUUUACCCAAAAAAAGGCUCUUUUAAGUUAGUAAAAUGUUAGUUAUUUGUUGACCCUUGCACUCCAUCGCAAAAUCACCUGCAGAAUGAUGGGAAUCAGAGACCAAAAGAGGGAGAAAAGAAGAAAAGAAAGCAAGAGGAAGAAACUUUUGAACACAACUGGAAAAAAGCAUAAAGGUCAGUAACAUGGAGGCAACAUUGUUGUUCAUGUACAGAAGCAGUGAAGAAAGCUAAGGCGA
rnacentral:lncRNA from 1 species